UGUGCACCUCUUCAUUGGCUUGGGCCCCUAACGAUUUAACGCUCAUCAGAAAACAAACCAAAUGGCCAACUCCUAUAUACAGUUUUGUCACAAUUACAUUACGACUAGGGGUGGAGCUAGGUGAGCGCAACCCCUCCUCCCGAAUAUUAUACUGCGUAACUGCGUAUAAUUAAGGUCAAAUUAUUUUUCAUGCAUAUAUAUUUUAUAUAUUGAAUCACCCUAACUUUUUUGCGUGUUUAUUUUUUUUUGAAUUCCUCGAUGAAAAUUAUGCUUCCACCAUUGAGUAUGACCAUUAAUUAGUAGUAACAACGGCCUAAGUUCUAUGCCCAGGUCAGAAAGACCAGGCAAGUUGGAAAUAUUUUUGUUCCUUCAAAUUUUAGACCAAAAAAAAAAGAGGAGAAAAAACUCGAUAGGGUACUUAGAUUUAUGGACCAAAGACAAGUCAUCGGAUAACCAUUCUUUCCUACGCCUUUAUUGGUGAAAAUUUGUUUUAUAUCUCUACUAAUUAAUGCACCACGGGUCUGCGCUCAAUCCGUUCUUAUUUGCCCUGACGAUGAAUGCACUAACACACUAUAUUUAAGGGGAGGUGCUAUGAUAUAUGUUGUUCGCUGAUAAUAUAGUUCUGAUUGAUGAGACACGAGGCAGCGUUAACGAGAGGCUGAAGGUUUGGAGACAGACCCUUGAGUCUAAAGGUUUCAAGUUGAGUAGUACUAAGACAGAAUAUCUGAAGUGUAAGUUCAGAGAAGCGUAAGGGGAAGCGGACAUGGACGCGAGGCUUGACUCAUAAGUCAUCCCCAAGAGAGCAAGUUUCAAGUACCUUGAGUCAAUUAUCCAAGGGGAUGGGGAGAUAGACGAGUAUGUCAUGCACCGUAUAGGAGUGGGCACACAAGAAAGUGCCACCGAAACUUAACAGCAAGUUCUACAGAGCAGUGGUUAGACCGGCCAUACUUUAUAAGGCUGAGUGUUGGGCAGCCAAGAAUUCUCAUACCCAGAAGAUGAAAGUGGUAGAAAUGAGGAUGUUGAGAUGGAUGUGCAGACACACUAGGCUGGAUAAGAUUAGAAAUGAAGAUAUUCGGGAGAAGGUGGGUAUGGCUCCCAUGGACGACAAGAUGCGAGAAGCGAAGCUUAGAUGCUUCGGGCACGUGCGAAGGAGAAGCAUAGAUUCCCCGGUUAGAAGGUGUGAAUGAUUAACAUUGGCAGGUACAAGGAGAGGUAGAGGGCGACCUAAGAAGUAUUUGUGUGAGGUGAUCAGGCAGGACAUGGCGCGACUUCUGAUCUUCUUGGACAUGGCUCUUGAUAGGAAAGUGCGGAGGUCGAGCAUUAGAGUUGUAGGUUAGGAGGGAGUCGAGCGUUUUUCUACGUUGUACCUGUCAUGAACCAAAUUAAUCCUCCGUAAGGUGUCGUGACGGCACCUAGCCUUUACGACUAGGUAAGCCUAAUAUUACGAAAAAUGUAAAGAAAAUACAAUAUUUUAAAGAUAAACAGCAUAUUGUGAAUAACCAAACGUAGUACCACUCGGCAUAUACAAAAUAAUUUCCCAAAAUCCGGAAUAUCACUAAGUCACAAGCUGCUAUAAUCUAUGUAGCUUUAUACAAAAGUCUGAAGAUAAUAAGGAAAAUCUCUAAGCGAGGGAGUAGAAGGGGACUCCGAGAAUCUGCAGACGCAAGCAGAAGUACCUUGAAGUCUCCUAGAAUCAGCAGCACGCACUAACCCCGAGGCUGAUAGCUCGCACGUGGAUCUGCACACGAAAAUAUGUGCAGGAAAGGGCAUGAGUACACCACAAUGGUACCCAAUAAGUGCCAAGCCUAACCUCGGUCGAGUAGUGCCGAGGUCAGGUCAAGGUCCUACCGGAGUAAAUAUAAUAAAUUAAACAAUAAAAGAUAUAAGUAAAGUUUACGGUAACACAGUUAAAGAAAUUCUUGAAAAUUUAACAGUUAAGGGAGUCCUCGGCUCGGAACAAGGUAAACACAAUGGGGAGAUCUCCUAGGAUACCGUCCUGUAGUUCCGAAUGAAUAUGCAGUACAGGGGGAUCUCCCGGAAUACGUCCGUAGUCCCAAAGUAAAGAUGCAGUACUGGGGGAUCUCCCGAAAUACGUCCAUAGUCCCAAAGUAAAUAUGCAGUGCUGGGGGGAUCUCCCGGAAUACGUUUGUAAUCCCAAAAUAAAUAUGCAGUGUUGGGGGAUCUCCCAGAAUACGUCUGUAGUCCCAAAGUAAAUAUGCAGUGUUAGGGGAUCUCCCGAUAUACGUCUGUAGUCCCAAUUUAAAUAUGCAACGCAAGAUGAAAUGGCAGGUAAGGCAUCGAGUUAUACCGUUUAUACAGAACACAGAUAAGGAAAGUAGGGACUUAACUAAGCAUGGCGCAUCGAAUGUCAGAUAGGCAGUUAAAACACAUAAGCAUGCUUCUCUAGUUAAGCUGAACAAUUAAACGAAAUAUUGCAAUUCAAUAAGGGAAAGACAGUUUAUGAUUUAGAAAGGAAAAAUGGAAUUUUUGCAAUAAUAGCCCGUGUACGUACUCGUCACCUCAAGCACACGGCGCCCACACCUCAAUUAAUAUAAAUAUCCUAAGGGGAAAGUCCCCAACACAAGGUUAGGCAAGCCACUUAUCUCGAAUCGUUCAAAUCAACUCGAUAUAACGUUCUUGCCACGAGUAUCCGACUCCAAAUGACCCGAAUCUAUUUAAAUUAAUUGCAUAAUAUAAAUAUAACUACAAGUAACUAAUUUAACUAAUUAAUUCGAAGCUAAAGCGUGAAAUUCGGGAAAACGCCCAAAAAAUCUCCCCGGGCCCACGUCUCAAAAUCGGGUAAAAAUUACAAAUUAUGAACACCCAUUCACUCACGGGCUCACUCGAACAAAAAUCAUCUAAAUCUGACGUCAAAUUCCCAUUCAAAUCUCAGAUUUUCAAUUGGAGAACCUUUUCUCCCAUUUUCAAACUUCUACCCUCAAAUUCCAUAAUUAGACAAGGAAAACAAUAAUGGAUUAAUGAAAUAUACACGAAUUAGAGUUAAGAAUUGUUACCCACUGAUUUCCUCUUCAAAACCCUUGCAAAAUCGCCUUCUCCCGAGCUAAAAUUCGAAUUGGUAAAAAAUGAGGAAUGAACUCUCGAAUCCGCCUCUUCAACCCAGCGAUUUCCGCACCUGCGCUCAUGGGGAUGUAUCUGCGGUCACGCACCUGCGAAAAACAUCAUCGCAGGUGCAAAGGUCACUUAUCCGGGCUGGGGCCGCAUCUGCGGGUAAUUCCUCGCAUCUGCGAUCCAAAUCGACGCAUUUGCGCAUUUCACUAAGGCAGCCAGGCUCCGCACCUGUGGGCUCGCAGGUGCGGUCAAACUUGCGCACCUGGGCUCCAUCACUAGCCCCACCAGUUCCGCAUCUGCGCACUCUCUCCGCACCUGUGGCUCGCGCACCUCCUUCCGCACGUGCGAAAUACCAGAACCAGCAAAGGCACCAGAUUUUUUCCUAAGUCCAAUUUCAUUCCGUUAAGCAUCCGAAACACACUCGAGGCCCCCGGGACCUCAACCAAACCUACCAACUAAUCCUAUAAUAUCAUACGAACUUAGUUGAGCCUUCAAACCACAUCGAACAACACAAAAAUCAUAAAUUAAGCACGGAUUCAAGCCUAAGAAUUUAGAAUUUUUCAAGUUCUACAAACGACGCCGAAUCACAUCAAAUCUAGUCCGAAUGACCUCAAAUUUUACACACAGGUCACAAAUGACACUACGAACCUACAGCCACUUUCGGAAUUCCAUUCCGAGCUCGAUAUCAAAAUUUUCACUAUCGGCCGAAAUUGCCAAAAAACUAACUUUCGCCAAUUCAAGCAUAAAUCUACUAUAGACCUCCAAAAUACAUUCCGGACGCGCUCUUAACCCCAAAAUCACUCAACGGAGCUAACAGAGUCGACAGAAUUCCAUUCCGGAUCCGUCUUCACGCAAUUUCGACUACGGUCCAAACUCUAAGGCUUAAACUCACAACUAGGGACUAAGUGUCCCAAAACUCUCCGAAUUCCAUAACCAAUCACUCCGGCAAGUCCCAAUAGCGGAAAACAAACGUGAGGAACACAGUUAUUAGGGGAUCGGGGCUCUAACUCUCAAAACGACCGGUCGGGUCGUUACAGUACCGGAGGCGGGACUAUGCUGAUAAUGUUUUGCCUUGGGUUGUUAGUGGUUUAUAUAGUUUCCACACUAUUUUCUAUAACAUUAUUAUUAGUUAUUGUUAUUACUUUUUCGUCUAUUUUCUGUUUCUUACGAUGUUGAUAUUAUUUUUUUGGCUUCUGUUGCUGUCAGUGACCUAUUGUCUAUUGUUUAUUUUCUUCUUCUUGAGCCGAAGGUCUUUCGGAAAGAGACUCUCUAUCCCUCUAGGGUAGAGGUAAGGUCCGUGUACACUCUACCUCACUAGGUUAUUUUCGUCGUCAUUAGUGUAUCUCUACUUACUAAUUAAAAUCAGCUAAAUUUUUUAUGAAUGUUUUGGAAAAGUUAUCUAAUAGAAAAAGUCUGUUCCUGUUGUUCUGGUUUUAAUUUAUCGAGCAACGUCAAGGCUUUUUCCUGCAAAAGUGCCAAACAAAUUCCAUCUUAGAAAUUUAGUAAGAAGGAAAAAAGCCCCUUUGCCUGAAGUAAGAGGACGUUGUUAGUUUUGCUAUUGUUUGACCCAAAAUUUAUUAGAUCUAGGUUUAACAAUUAGAUUUUUUAGUAAAAUAGAGUUAAUUUUAGUCAAUAUUAAUAUCCAAAAGAAGUGUUAACCGAUUUUGUACGGCAAGAUAGUACGGGUAUAAUCUAAGUAGCAAUAAAUGAUGACAACACUAUAACAUUCAAUGAUCCGAAAAUGAAGGAGAUAUCAUUUAAUAACAAUAAAUAGUAAAGAAUGACAUUUAAGUAAAUAAAGGUAUGUGAGUCACUCGAAAAGGGUGAGAUUCUUUAGUAUUCUUUCUGACAAUGAUUAAUGAUUGAUGAACCUUUGAAUAUUCGGAUUCUCCUUGGAUUGUGAGAGAAAAGUUAGACAAGAAUUUCAAGAAAAUGAUGUAUUUUGUAUUUGUAUAAUAAAGCAAGAAUCCUUAGAGAAUAUCAAUGUGUUAUCUUACAAGUGAGUGUUCAAUGUCCCCUAUAACUAUGUCUUUUUAUAUUUAUAAGGGAACAUAUGCCAAAAAACCCUUAAUAGUAUAGAUGCAAAGAAUAUUCACUAGAAUAUUCUCCUUAGAGUCAUUCUAAAACUAGCUGUUAUUACUCUAUUUAAGACAAGUGCUCGUACCUUGAUCAUGCCUCUUGUCGAAGUCAUAUUGGUGACACGCGGCAGCCCUUGAAGGCCGUUUUAACGUUGAUAUGGUUUAAUCAUUACUAAGAUAAUUUUUAGCUCAUACAACUAUAAACACAAUAACGAUCCAAUCCUUAAACUUUAUCCCAACAAGAUCUCAAUGAUUUUGAAAAAUCAAGAAAUUAAAAUUAGAAUUAGGGAGGUGGGACUUAGAUAAAUGCAAGAUUUGAUGUGAUGAAGAAGUACAACUCCAAAAUGUGAAGCGAACCCACAAAGAAGUUGGUCUUAACUAGAGGGCAUAAUCCAACCACCUUAUCCAUGGAUUAUUGGAUUAUAGUAAACUUCUUUUAAUUGUCUUCCCUACACCAAAAGGAUAAUUAAGCAGAAAAGAGGGAGACGGUGGGGAAUUAAAAUAAAUGAUAAAAUUAUCAAACAGUGUGGUGGGAUCAAUAAAAUUCUUUAACCUUAAUGGAACGUCGAUCAAGUUAUAAGAAGGAAGAAAUUCCUGAUAAGUAACGUUUUUCUUUUUAAUAAGUCAAUAUAUACGGGGCACUCAUUCAAUUAUAUAAGGACAAUAGGUGCUGAAUACCUAUUAAUUACAAGAAAAGUAUGAAAACUGACGAAAUUAAAUUAGUUAUACAUCAAAAAUUGACGUUAAUUUCUAUUGGUCCCAUGCGCACUAGAGGACAAAUAAUUGAUAGAAAAUGCUUUUGGCAGGUUGCAGUGUGUUAGUAAAUUUAGAAUAGACAAGUAUUAUGGCAUGAUGUAUUAGGACAAGGUGGUGAAAUUUGAUCCCUCGACUUGGGACAAAAAUUGACCCUUAUAACAUCUCCAUUUCGAUUUGUUGUUGGCUCUUAAAUUGUUCUGUCUAUAGUACUCCACACGUGGAUGUGUUAACGUGGAAAAUGACCUUUCCCGAACAUAUGUCAAAAACUACAAAAUAUAUAUAGUUAGAAGAGAGAUUUUAUUUUUGUGUUGAUUUUUCAUAUAUGGGAGACCUAUAAUUCAUCUGUUCCCAAAUAUUGCCAAUUGUUUCAAAAUAUUAUGUUAUAAAAAACAAGAAAGUCAUUUAUUACAUUUAUUAAAAUUUACCCUUACUGUUCUAAUAAGUGAAAUGUUUAUUAAGCUAAAACGUUUAAAGUGAAUAAAAUACUCCUGCCCACUCCCUCCUAGCUCUUACUGUUGCCUACUUAUUUUCCACUUUCUCCUAGCUCUUCUUAUCCAUAUAUUUAGGCUAAUAAUACUUGUUUUCUUUUUCGUUUUUGUUCUUUCCCUGUGAUUUAUUCUUGAAUAUACAUGCAAAAGAAUGUUAAGUAGAUGGACAAAAAUAGAGAGAUUUCGUCCUCAAAUUGUAUUCACUUUUAGAUAGGCAUCACGUUAUUAUAUUCUAUAUGCACUUUUAUCUCCAGAUGGUUUGUAGUAUUUGUUUCAAGAUUCAGUUUUUCUUUCUCUUCCCCUUCAACUUGAUCAGUUGCCUAAGAUUUUAGAGAACUUCUUGAAAUUGUACUAGCUAGUCAUAUAAUUAAGCUCCCCCCUCAAUUUCAAAUUAACUUUUUUCAAGUUUUAUCGACUUUUGCAAGUUUCUUAAAUUCGAAUCUACUUAGCUAAUCAAAUUUUUGUUUUGACACGAGGUUUAAAUUUCUCAUUCAAUUAGCUAGAUUUUUCAACUAAAUUUUUAGAUUUUAUGAACUCCAGAGCAUGAGAAUGGUGUAGAAGGAGGAAUGGACGUGGUCCUAAUCCAAUGAUUGUGCCAAAGUUGCAUUGAGGUGUCAAAAUCAAAUGUAUGACUGGAAAAGCAAUGCCUAGCUAGUGACUUCCCAGCUUGGAUUUCACAUGUAAUUCAUACCAAACCAUAUUUCCUACUAGUUGUGUGCCAUUCUCUCUAUCUCAACUCAAAAGAUUUUCCAUUUCUUUACUUGUUAGAACCAUACAUGCAUAUACCAUCGUCUUAUAUAUUAUCCAUAUUCAGUGUUCCAGCUAACCUUGAAUACAUUAUAAAGGGUUAGAAUUUGAUAUAUAAACUAAAUUCUCCAUCCAAUUUUUGUUGCUAUACUUUUCAGUGAAAUCAUAUUGAGUAGUCAAAAUAAACAAACGUAAAAAAGGAAAGAGAAGAAAGGAAAAAGGGGAUUCAAACUUCAAUCAAGAAAGGUGGAAAACACAAGAAGGUGGCCCACUGGGGAAAAAAAAGGAAGAUGAGUGUCUUAGUUGAAGUCACAUGGUAGCAUGUGGGAUUGUAGUGUUUGGAUAUGUUGCUGAAUUAAUGGAAAAGCCAAAGAUAUUAUGUAUAUUUGUUAGGCUGAGAGGCCUACACGAACCAAAAGAAAAAAACUAAAUCA
rnacentral:lncRNA from 1 species